GAUGAACGCUAGCGGGAGGCCUAAUACAUGCAAGUCGAGCGGCAAGGUCUUCGGACCCUAGAGCGGCGCACGGGUGAGUAACGCGUACGCAAUCUGCCCUUCAGUGAGGAAUAGCCCUGGGAAACUGGGAUUAAUACCUCAUAAUAUUGUUUAGUCGCAUGGCUAAAUAAUUAAAGUUCUGGCGCUGAAGGAUGAGCGUGCGUCUGAUUAGCUAGUUGGUAGGGUAACGGCCUACCAAGGCGACGAUCAGUAGGGGGCGUGAGAGCGUGACCCCCCACACGGGUACUGAGACACGGACCCGACUCCUACGGGAGGCAGCAGUAAGGAAUAUUGGGCAAUGGAGGCAACUCUGACCCAGCCAUCCCGCGUGAAGGAUUAAGGCCCUAUGGGUUGUAAACUUCUUUUGUUUGGGAAGAAAUCUGGUCAUUUAUGAGCAGUUGACGGUACCUUACGAAUAAGCACCGGCUAACUCCGUGCCAGCAGCCGCCGUAAAAC
rnacentral:rRNA from 1 species